rnacentral:rRNA from 1 species
AUACGUAGGGUGCGAGCGUUGUCCGGAAUUACUGGGCGUAAAGAGCUCGUAGGUGGUUUGUCGCGUCGUCUGUGAAAUUCCGGGGCUUAACUCCGGGCGUGCAGGCGAUACGGGCAUAACUUGAGUACUGUAGGGGAGACUGGAAUUCCUGGUGUAGCGGUGAAAUGCGCAGAUAUCAGGAGGAACACCGGGGGCGAAGGCGGGUCUCUGGGAAGUAACUGACGCUGAGGAGCGAAAGCAUGGGUAGCGAACAGGAUUAGAUACCCUGGUAGUCCAUGCCGUAAACGGUGGGCGCUAGGUGUAGGGGUCUUCCACGACUUCUGUGCCGUAGCUAACGCAUUAAGCGCCCCGCCUGGGGAGUACGGCCGCAAGGCUAAAACUCAAAGGAAUUGACGGGG